rnacentral:rRNA from 1 species
GCAUAAGCAGGAACCACUUCAAAUAAGGUCGGUGUAUCACAAAAUUCGGAGGCCCCGACUGUUUACUAACAAACACAAAUUCAGAGCAACUGAUGAAAAUCACUAGAUACUUCUGGAUGAAAUUUGCCCGAUGCCAUUAACAUAAAAAAGGUAAUGGGAUACUGUUACUAAUUGAAAGUCUGGUUAAUACGCGGUCUUAACUAUGAGGAUCACUAAGGUAGCAAAAUCAGUUGGCCAUUAAAUGUGGUCUGGUAUCAAUAGUGUAACGAUGGUCUCACUGUCUCUACAACUUGCUCAGUGAAAUUGAAUUAUCCGUGCAGAUGCGGAUUGCCUCCAGGUGGACGGGAAGACCCUAUGCAGCUUCUACUG